rnacentral:misc_RNA from 1 species
UGGUUCUGGCAUCGAUGAAGAACGCAGCAAAAUGCGAUAAGUAAUGUGAAUUGCAGAAUUUAGUGAAUCAUCGAAUCUUUGAACGCACAUUGCGCCCUUUGGUAUUCCGAAGGGCAUGCCUGUUCGAGCGUCAUUACACCUCCUCAAGUUCUGCUUGGCAUUGGAUGAUUGUCAAUGACUCGUCUCAAAGAUCUUUGCAGUAUCAAACAAAUCAUAAACGCAGUUAUUUCAACGUUUCUUGGCUUUUUGAUAUUCGCAUAUUAUACAUCUUUAGGUUGACCUCGAAUCAGGUAGGGAUACCCGCUGA